ACCAUUUUAUGUUUACAACAUAAACUCCUGAAAAGAUUAAUUUCAUACGGACACAAAUCCUAUGAACGUGCUACCGUCCGAUGUGAUGACCUGGAUCAGCGGGAAUGUUUCGAAUAUAAUAACGGACUGACAUAUGAGGCAAACGGUUUACGUCGACGUAGCUGGUUUAGAUUAACGCGAUGAAUAUUAUUUCUCCAAGUUGGUGCCGAAAGCUUACAGGGAUAUCAUACAAUGCAGGAAGACGAAGAUUAUCUGCGAUCACCAUACCGAUAGCGAAAAUACUCGCACGUUGCAGCAGCUUGAAAAUGGAGUAGUUUUCGAAACGGUACAUGUGCAGUAUGUGGUAAAAUGAAAUGAAGCAAUGCUAUGUUACAAGUUGAUUGGCCUUGAGAACAAAGGAUAAUCUGAAGCAGCUUAGUACUCGGUUGCAGUACAUGCAGAAUUUCAAUAUAACCUUCUAUGUAUCACAACUAGCGAAUCCAGUGUAUCUUCCGGUAUGUCGCACAUACUGAAGCAUAACGUUCUCUAUGAGCGCCAAGAUCCCCAAGAAAUUGAAGAACUUUAUUUGGGAAGUUUUCUAUAACAUUAUAAAUAAUUGAUAAAGAAUAGUUUGUUAUUUUCUCCUUUUAA